UAGGGAAUCUUCCACAAUGGACGAAAGUCUGAUGGAGCAACGCCGCGUGAGUGAAGAAGGUUUUCGGAUCGUAAAGCUCUGUUGUUGGUAAAGAAGGAUAGAGGCAGUAACUGGUCUUUAUUUGACGGUAAUCAACCAGAAAGUCACGGCUAACUACGUGCCAG
rnacentral:rRNA from 1 species